GUUUAGGUUUUAGGGUUUAGAGUGGGGUUUGGGAUAAGAUUUCAAAUUUUGAAAAAUAAAAAAAAUAAAAAAAAUUUAAAUUUUUCAAAAGAUAAAAUGUUAUUUUGGGCAUUUUUGUUUUUGUGGACUAUUUUUGUGACAUAAACUUAGAAAUGUGCUAUUUUGGAGAUUUGCCCUAUAAAUAAUCGGUUUUGUUUGUUUAUUUGGACAGCUUUCCUCUAACGGUCAGGUUGGUGAAGAGUUGGCUCAGUCCGGCGUGAAUGCAAUGUGCAGAAUGUGCUUCUUGGGAGAAAGCCAAGGAAGUGAGAGAGCAAGGAGGAUGCUUUCUUGUAAAAGCUGUGGCAAGAAGUACCAUAAGAAUUGUGUAAAGUCUUGGGCUCAACAUAGAGAUUUGUUUCAUUGGAGCUUAUGGAGUUGUCCCUCGUGCCGUGUUUGUGAGGUCUGCCGUAGAACAGGAGACCCUAACAAGUUUGUGUUCUGCAAGAGGUGUGAUGCCGUAGAACAAGAGAUCCUAAGGGGGUUGUUGGAUCAUGUAGCUUCUUAGUUAUGACCUCUAACCAACAGGAGAUCGAAGGUGAUAAACAGAGAAUCAUGUACACGAAGCAAACAAACAGAGAAUCAUGAGUGCGUUAGUCUCGAAGCAACUUUCCAUUAGAGGAAGACCACAAAGACAUGCUUCACUUCAUUCUUCUUAUGCUUUGAUUCGAGAGGGAGAGAGUUUUGAUUUUUUUUUUCUAAAUGUUGAGACUUGUUAGUGUUUUGUGGGGUGUUUUGUACAUUGAUAAUAAAUUCAGGCCAAACAUAAAUUGGAGCUAAAACUCCAAUAUUAUUGGAGCCAAAUCUCAUGGAGGGAAAUAUAAUUGGAACCAAAAGA